rnacentral:rRNA from 1 species
AGGACGAACGCUGGCGGCGUGCUUAACACAUGCAAGUCGAGCGGAAAGGCCCUUCGGGGUACUCGAGCGGCGAACGGGUGAGUAACACGUGGGCAACCUGCCCUUAGCUCUGGGAUAGCUCCGGGAAACCGGAAUUAAUACCGGAUAUGACCUAGGCCGACAUCGGCCGUGGUGGAAAGUUUUUCGGCUAGGGAUGGACUCGCGGCCUAUCAGCUAGUUGGUGGGGUAAUGGCCUACCAAGGCGACGACGGGUAGCCGGCCUGAGAGGGCGACCGGCCACACUGGGGACUGAGACACGGCCCAGACUCCUACGGGAGGCAGCAGUGGGGAAUCUUGCGCAAUGGGCGAAAGCCUGACGCAGCGACGCCGCGUGGGGGAUGAAGGCCUUCGGGUUGUAAACCCCUUUCAGCAGGGACGAAGCGAAAGUGACGGUACCUGCAGAAGAAGCGCCGGCUAACUACGCGCCAGCAGCCGC